rnacentral:rRNA from 1 species
UGAGUAACCUGCCCUUAACUCUGGGAUAAGCCUGGGAAACUGGGUCUAAUACCGGAUAUGACUCCUCAUCGCAUGGUGGGGGGUGGAAAGCUUUAUUGUGGUUUUGGAUGGACUCGCGGCCUAUCAGCUUGUUGGUGAGGUAAUGGCUCACCAAGGCGACGACGGGUAGCCGGUCUGAGAGGACGACCAGCCACACUGGAACUGAGAUACGGUCCAGACUCCUACGGGAGGCAG